AUGGUUGGCCAAAUGCAGAUAUCUUGGCCAUCCACGAUUGUAGAGCUCAUCUUGGGCCUGCUAUGGCACCUUGUCCACCUGUUGGUCAGCCUCUUUGAUUUGUGGUCGCAUCUGAGUGAUAAUCUAGAAUGCUAUCUUAUUUCGUCUGAGUUGCUGCCCAAGUACCGAGAUCUUCAUUUUGAGAGACUUAAUUACGUGGGCGUUGUAGUAGAUAGCAGAGAAGCAAAUGAUGUUUUGAAGAUCAAGCAACUUUUACGGUGGUUAUCAACUAUCGGCGUUAAGUAUGUAGUUCUCUAUGAUAUUGAAGGUAAAUGA
rnacentral:rRNA from 1 species